AGAGCGAACGCUGGCGGCAGGCCUAACACAUGCAAGUCGAGCGGCCGUAGCAAUACGGCAGCGGCAGACGGGAGAGUAACACGUGGGAACGCGCCCUUCGGUUCGGAAUAACUCAGGGAAACUUGAGCUAAUACCGGAUACGGCCGAGAGGCGAAAGAUUUAUCGCCGGAGGAUUGGCCCGCGUUCGAUUAGCUAGUUGGUGAGGUAACGGCUCACCAAGGCGAUGAUCGAUAGCUGGUCUGAGAGGAUGAUCAGCCACAUUGGGACUGAGACACGGCCCAAACUCCUACGGGAGGCAGCAGUGGGGAAUAUUGGACAAUGGGCGCAAGCCUGAUCCAGCCAUGCCGCGUGAGUGAUGACGGCCUUAGGGUUGUAAAGCUCUUUCGCUCGGGACGAUAAUGACGGUACCGAGAUAAGAAGCCCGGCUAACUUCGUGCCAGCAGCCGC
rnacentral:rRNA from 1 species